GGACGCUUCCGGAGGUUUCGGCCUCCGGGGGAGUGGCGGACGGGUGAGUAGCGCGUGGGAACCUGCCCCUUUGUGGGGGAUAACCGAGGGAAACUUCGGCUAAUACCGCAUGCGCCCCCGCGAAAGCGGGGGGAAAGAUUUAUCGCAGAGGGAGGGGCCCGCGUCGGAUUAGGUAGUUGGUGGGGUAACGGCCUACCAAGCCUUUGAUCCGUAGCUGGUCUGAGAGGAUGAUCAGCCACACUGGGACUGAGACACGGCCCAGACUCCUACGGGAGGCAGCAGUGGGGAAUAUUGGACAAUGGGCGCAAGCCUGAUCCAGCAAUGCCGCGUGAGUGAUGAAGGCCUUAGGGUUGUAAAGCUCUUUCGGCGGGGACGAUGAUGACGGUACCCGCAGAAGAAGCCCCGGCUAACUUCGUG
rnacentral:rRNA from 1 species